rnacentral:rRNA from 1 species
UCAGGACGAACGCUGGCGGCGUGCCUAACACAUGCUAGUCGAACGGGGUUAUUAUGGAAGUUCUUUCGGGGACGGAAGUAAUAACUUAGUGGCGAACGGGUGAGUAACGCGUGAGAAACCUGCCUCUCAGUGGGGGACAACAGUUGGAAACGACUGCUAAUACCGCAUAACACUUUAGUACCGCAUGGUACAGAAGUCAAAGCUUAAUGUGCUGAGAGAUGGUCUCGCGUCUGAUUAGCUAGAUGGCGGGGUAACGGCCCACCAUGGCGACGAUCAGUAGCCGGUCUGAGAGGAUGAACGGCCACAUUGGGACUGAGACACGGCCCAGACUCCUACGGGAGGCAGCAGUGGGGGAUAUUGCACAAUGGGCGAAAGCCUGAUGCAGCGACGCCGUGUGAGGGAAGGCGGUUUUCGGAUUGUAAACCUCUGUCUUCGGGGACGAAAAUGACGGUACCCGAGGAGGAAGCCACGGCUAACUACGUGCCAGCAGCCGCGGUAAUACGUAGGUGGCAAGCGUUGUCCGGAAUUACUGGGUGUAAAGGGAGAGUAGGCGGGAUUGCAAGUCCGUUGUUAAAUCUAUCGGCUCAACCGGUAGCUGCGGCGGAAACUGUAGUUCUUGAGUGAAGUAGAGGCAGGCGGAAUUCCUAGUGUAGCGGUGAAAUGCGUAGAUAUUAGGAGGAACACCAGUGGCGAAGGCGGCCUGCUGGGCUUUAACUGACGCUGAGGCUCGAAAGUGUGGGGAGCAAACAGGAUUAGAUACCCUGGUAGUCCACACUGUAAACGAUGAUUACUAGGUGUGGGGGGACUGACCCCUUCCGUGCCGGAGUAAACACAAUAAGUAAUCCACCUGGGGAGUACGGCCGCAAGGUUGAAACUCAAAGGAAUUGACGGGGGCCCGCACAAGCAGUGGAUUAUGUGGUUUAAUUCGAAGCAACGCGAAGAACCUUACCAGGUCUUGACAUCGUGCGCAUAGUAUAGAGAUAUAUGAAGUCCUUCGGGACGCAUAGACAGGUGGUGCAUGGUUGUCGUCAGCUCGUGUCGUGAGAUGUCGGGUUAAGUCCCUCAACGAGCGCAACCCUUACGAUUAGUUGCUACGCAAGAGCACUCUAAUAGGACUGCCGUUGACAAAACGGAGGAAGGUGGGGAUGACGUCAAAUCAUCAUGCCCCUUAUGACCUGGGCUACACACGUACUACAAUGGUGAUCAACAGAGGGAAGCAAAGCGGCGACGCAGAGCAAAUCCCUAAAAGUCAUCUCAGUUCGGAUCGCAGGCUGCAACCCGCCUGCGUGAAGUUGGAAUUGCUAGUAAUCGCAGAUCAGGAUGCUGCGGUGAAUA